UGGGGAAUAUUGCACAAUGGGCGCAAGCCUGAUGCAGCCAUGCCGCGUGUAUUGAAGAAGGCCUUCGGGUUGUAAAGUACUUUCAGUCGUGAGGAAGGCGGCGUCGUUAAUAGCGGCGUUGUUUGACGUUAGCGACAGAAGAAGCACCGGCUAACUCCGUGCC
rnacentral:rRNA from 1 species